CCUACGGGAGGCAGCAGUGAGGAAUAUUGGUCAAUGGGCGGAAGCCUGAACCAGCCAAGUAGCGUGCAGGAUGACGGCCCUACGGGUUGUAAACUGCUUUUAUACGGGAAUAACGCGCCUUACGUGUAGGGCUUUGCAUGUACCGUAUGAAUAAGGACCGGCUAAUUCCGUGCCAGCAGCCGCGGUAAUACGGAAGGUCCGGGCGUUAUCCGGAUUUAUUGGGUUUAAAGGGAGCGUAGGCCGCAUGUCAAGCAUGAUGUGAAAUGUCCGGGCUCAACCCGGGCCUUGCAGCGCGUACUGGCGUGCUUGAGUCCGCGGAAAGCAGGCGGAAUUCGUCGUGUAGCGGUGAAAUGCGUAGAUAUGACGAAGAACCCCGAUUGCGAAGGCAGCUUGCUGCAGCGGAACUGACGCUGAUGCUCGAAAGCGCGGGGAUCGAACAGGAUUAGAUACCCCGGUAGUC
rnacentral:rRNA from 1 species